GGCCUCGUAGCUCAGCUAGUAGAGCGUGUGCUGUACAAAACGUAGGCGGCGUCCAUGCCUGGUGGGUUCAAAUCCCACCGAGGCUA
rnacentral:tRNA from 1 species